AGUGAACGCUGGCGGUAGGCCUAACACAUGCAAGUCGAACGGCAGCACAGUAAGAGCUUGCUCUUACGGGUGGCGAGUGGCGGACGUGUGAGGUAUACAUCGGACUCUACUUUUUCGUGGGGGUUAACGUAGGUAAACUUACGCUAAUACCGCAUACGCCCUACGGUUGAAAGCAUUGGAUCUUCUGACCUUGCGCGAUUGCAUGCGCCGAUGUCGGAUUAGCUAGUUGGCUGGGUAAAGGCCCACCAAGUCGACGAUCCGUAGCUGGUCUGGGAGGAUGAUAAGCCACACGGGAACGUGAACAGGGUCAAGAGUACUAUGGGAGGGAGCAGAGGGGAAUAUUGGACAAUGGGCGCAAGCAUGAUCCAGUCAGACCGAGUGGGAGAAGAAGGCGUUGGGGUUGGAAAGACCUUUUGUUGGGAAAGAAAAGCAGCAGGUUAAGACCACGCUGUUGUGACGGUAACCAAAGAAUAAGCACCGGCUAACUUCGUG
rnacentral:rRNA from 1 species